AUUGAACGCUGGCGGCAUGCUUUACACAUGCAAGUCGAACGGUAACAGGCCGCAAGGUGCUGACGAGUGGCGAACGGGUGAGUAAUGCAUCGGAACGUGCCCAGUCGUGGGGGAUAACGUAGCGAAAGUUACGCUAAUACCGCAUACGAUCUAUGGAUGAAAGCGGGGGAUCGCAAGACCUCGCGCGAUUGGAGCGGCCGAUAUCAGAUUAGGUUGUUGGUGGGGUAAAAGCCCACCAAGCCGACGAUCAGUAGCUGGUCUGAGAGGACGACCAGCAACACUGGGACUGAGAGACGACCCAGAGUCCGACGGGAGGCAGCAGUGGGGAAUUUUGGACAGUGGGCGCAAGCCUGAUCCAGCCAUGCCGCGUGUGGGAAGAAGGCCUUCGGGCUGUAAACCACUUUUGUCAGGGAAGAAACGGCUUUUUCUAAUAAAGAGAGCUAAUGACGGUACCUGAAGAAUAAGCACCGGCUAACUACGUGCCAGCCGCCGCCGUAA
rnacentral:rRNA from 1 species